AACGUGGAGACAGGUGGUGCAUGGCUGUCGUCAGCUCGUGUCGUGAGAUGUUGGGUUAAGUCCCGCAACGAGCGCAACCCUCACCUCUUGUUGCCAUCAGGUCAUGCUGGGCACUCUAGAGGAACUGCCCCGGUCAACGGGGAGGAAGGCGGGGAUGACGUCAAGUCAUCAUGCCCCUUACGCCCUGGGCUACACACGUGCUACAAUGGCCGGUACAAAGGGAUGCAAGACCGCGAGGUGGAGCUAACCCCAAAAAACCGGUCUAAGUUCAGAUUGCAGUCUGCAACUCGGCUGCAUGAAGGAGGAAUCGCUAGUAAUCGCGCAUCAGCACGGCGCGGUGAAUACGUUCCCGGGCCUUGUACACACCGCCCGUCACACCACGAAAGCCGGCUGUACUCGAAGUCGCUGAG
rnacentral:rRNA from 1 species